AUGCUCAGCAGAGCAUCCAGGAAGGGUGUGAAGCAUCUCAAAAACUCCCAUAUUCCAAACAAUCCUAGAGCCAUCCCAGGGAGCUGCCACCAGCAGCUGGCAAUCAGGACCAAGUGCCAUCACUGUGACACUGGCUGUGACACACAGAGAGGAGGGAGAGGCUGCUCUUGCUGCCACAGACAGAAAAGGGACAUUUUUGAGCUUGUUUAUGUGCUGUGCUUCCCCAGCUGGAACCCCUGGUCCUGUGUGAACCCCGUGGUCUGUGCCAGGAGCAAGAUUAGGUUCCUGCAGACAUAUCUAGACCCUGUCCAGCAGCCUGGAAAACACAGAGCUCUAUUCCAGAGUUUACAGGUGUACAGAAAAACCUGUGUUUCCUCAGGACCAGAGCUGUGUGGUGGCCCAGCUCCUGCAGAAGCUGCCCUGGCUCCUCAAUGAUCUGUCCUCAGCACUGAAGAUUCCCUAAAACCUGGUGAUCUGUAACAUCAGUGAACUGCUCACUAAAUUGUUUCAG
rnacentral:lncRNA from 1 species